CGAGUGACCUCGAACCAGUUAUUAUGUGUAGUAAGAAAUUGGAUUCCUUUGCAUGGAGAAUUUCAGUGGCUAGAGUUCACGGCUCCUCGAUUGAUUCAGAUUCAGUUGUAUUAAGUCUGCCCACUAAUAAUGUAGAGCAAAAUAGGUAUUGUGGUGUUUGCAGAGCCGACCCGAGCUGAACCCAAGACAGAAGUGGAGUCCUGCUGGGAACGAGCUGAAACAUUGGACACGGACUGGAUGAUUUAAAAAUGAAAUGUAUUAAUGAGAUGAUAUGUGCUGUAACCAUUUGUAAUGUUUGAAUAAUCUUUAGUCUGUAACAAAUACUGUAAAGUGCUCUCUCUGUAAGACCGAAAAACAGAAUCUGGUACAACUUGAUACACUGGCCGGCCUUGAGCAGUCUCUUAUUAAAAUUGGCACGAUUCCCAGAAUUUAGUGCUGAAAUCUCUGUUAAGACUUUUCAGCUUGACUACAGAAUAAUGCUGUACUAAUAGAUGUAUGUUAAUAUGCUUGUUUUAAAUGGUAUAGAUUGCUGUGGUAACAUAUAAUCAUAGGUAGUGAUAAUUAUUGUUAGUAUGAAAUACUAUGAACAAUUUUUAUGUAUAAGAUCAUAUGAUUCACUUUGCUUAAUAUGAUAGCAUACCUGAAGCUGUUUUCUAUCAAGAUGAGCAUAGUUAAAAACGGAGUCCUAAUUCAAUGAAAAGAAUUACUGUGUGCUUACAUUCAAGAAUUAUAACUUCUGAAUAUAAAGGGAAAAGGAGUUAGGAGUAUUCUUAAGGGAAAGAGAAAAACAGAAAAGGAUUAAAAGACCUCGCUUUGAGUAGGUUUCUGCUUGUAAUUCAGUUUUAAAAUAAGUAGGUGAGUAAGAACAACCUAGAGUAAAAGCAGACUCUAACUUAAGAAAAUAAGCAUUGUCAGAAGAUACACCACAACUAGAGAGCAGAAAAAUUGAAUAAAAUCCUAUUGUAAUAUUGCGGAUAUACUGCUGCUAGCAGAAAGUAAUAAGGUUAGCAGCCAUACGCUAUAAGAAGUAAUGUACUAGUUUGACUCUGAAGUUAAAAGACGCAGCAUAAAAAGAUGUUGUGUUUAAAAUACAAAAUAAAAGGAUUGAAUAAAUAAUGAAGAAUAAAAGCAGGAGAUCGGUUUUAGGAGAGUAAACUCUAUGUGACCUGUCUUCCUGAACUCUCUAUCAGCCUGCCCUUGGAGAAAUUAAUAUUAGCUGCUGGAAGGCCUCUUUGGUGGGAAGAAGCCGGAAUUUUUUUAUCAGAAGGCUUAUAGUAUCGGGCCGGACUGCAAAAAUAGGGAGUUAGAACGGAUGGUCUUAGCACCUAAGAUAGUUAGUUGCCGGGCGGAACAAGCAUGUAAGAUACAGGUGUAAGGAAAGUUCUAGGGAACAUUAAUCACUAUUAAACUUGGCAAGAAAAGAGGUGUCUCCAGCAAGCUGGUUUUAGCCAGUAUGAAUAUAGCUGAAACAUACAGGGUCAUCUGGAUGUCAAUUAAGUUCAAGCUACCAGGGGCCCAUAGGAGAAAAACAUUACAGCUUUACAGCUCAGUAAAAUAGUUAGGUUUUCCAUAAGGAGAAAACUCUACAUUAAAAAGAUAUAAGAUGGAAGUUCCCUAUAAUACCUGCUAAACACACACCUGUAAGGAAAGAAUGAAAUUAAUUUGAGAGUGAGAUGACAUGAGGGAAUAUAUUUUUGAAAGCCAAGUUCAUGUAAUCAAUUAUAAUCAUUAUAACUAUAACUGCUAUAUUAUGAUAUAACUAUUGGUGUUGCAUAUAUUCAAAAAACACCACUUUUCUUAUAUUGGUGUUGCAUAUAUUUAAAACACCACUCCUUUUUAUAAUGCACCCAUAUUAAGUAGUGAAUCAAGGUUGCAGGGAUUUUGUGAACUCUGCUUCACCUAACUUUUCAGAUGAAGGAGGGGGGCCAAGAAUGAGUGGAUGAGAACAUGGGCUAGUGUUGAUUUGUUGGCAUAUGACUUUAAUUGAGUCUGAGGAGUUGGUUGAAUUCUUUAGAGAUUACUGUUUGCCAAGAGAUAAGGACUGUCAAUAUAGAUUGAUGACUGGAUCUAAUUGGGGUUUCCCAUUGCUUUCAAUGGGACGAAAAUUGUAUAAAAACCCUGGGCCGAUCACACUGAGACCACCACAAUCAAGCUUGGCAGAGCUAUGUGUGGUCCAUCCUUUGCAGAUCUCUACAGAACAGUCCUUCUCUUUUGUUCACGCUACUCUUCCUUAUAAUAGGAGGUAAGCAUAUUAAUGGUAUUAUUGUAUCUCGCAUUUAUUGGUUAUAUUGCUAUGAGGUUUUGAAACUAUGUUUUGGUAUUAAGAGUGUUAUAUUGAAUGUGCUAAAACAUAGCAGUGGGUGCUUGUAGGCUUUGUGCUUAACCAGCCUGAGGGCUGCACUGAAUACAUAUAAUUGUAUUAUGUUAUUGAAGUAUUAAAUGCUGAAGCUUGUAAUAAACUUAGGAUUGCUAAUUAUUGUUACAUGUUUUCGGGUUUUGGUAGUAUGCGCAAACUACUAAACCAAUAUUAAAGGCAUUUUAAUAAAACGAAGGAGCGCUGAUGUUGCUCUGAUUCGUGAAACUUUGAAUAAAUGAGUCUGAGUGAUUUUCUUGAUUAAAUAAAAAGGUUUUAAGGACACACCGCUCGUCCAGUGCUCGAACAUAAACCACUAGGAGUUUUAAACAUCUCUGUCCUCCUUAACGUCUCCCCUGAGUUAAGAGUGUGUGCAGAGCAAAUAAUAUAAUAAAAGAGAACGUGAAAAGUGAAAACGUGACAGUUGGCGCCCGACCGUGGGGCGAGCGAAAUAAACGGUCCGCAAAAUAAACCUAAUCUAGAAAACACUAAUAAAUACGAUCGACCAAUAAAAAUUAAAAUUGUUUAACAUUUUGAAACGCGUUACUAAAAUAGUUUAAACAUUUUAAUUCCAUCACGUAAUUUUGUAAGGUAAAUUGCGUAUGGGCAUUUAAACUCCGGAAACCCGACGUUGUGACGCAACCCCAGAUGCGGCAACCUCACUCGUGCACAAAUCUUCCGGUAAAAUAAAGUCUAGCAAAAGAGGGCGUUGAACGGGCUAUUAUAAAUAGAAAAACGGGCUACUCUACAUGGCAUAUGCCAAAACUUUUGAAGAAGAAUUCCUUGAGAUAAAUAACCAAUUGGAAGAAGGGGCUCACGCAGUUGUCAACACAUUGUCUCAAAUAAUAGAUAGAGAGAUGAAUGCUGAUGAUAGUUCAGAAAGCGCUUCGGAUAUAGAAGAAGGUGAAAGGAUGGAGUCUCCAUCUUCCUUCUCUGAAAUAGAAAUGGGGGAAGAAACUGCUAACAAAACCACACCUGUGUGGAAAAAAGCUGUUACUUUUUUCAAACCACGAUCUAGAGAAAGAAAGAAAAAUAAACUGUGUGAACCGAGAAGUAAGUCAGCUGAAGCAGCUGCAAGUAGAGAACACUCAGUAAAUCUGCCUUGGGAAGCUGCAACUAGCAGAGAGGAGAGCACCGGCUCCACCCACUAAUUCAUGUGACUUGCGAUCAUCAGGUCCUAAAGGGAUACGAGCACAGAAAGUAACAAACUCUGAAAAACUUAGAGCGCUGAAUACGUUAGACAACCAAUGUAUAAUUUAUUGGCUGUUACAGCUAAUGUCUGCCAAGAAAUAAAUAAUAAUGAAAACCUCUUGCAUGGAGGAGGUGUGGUUAGAGCCCUGUCUGAAGCAAGCGGUUUAAUAAUUCAGGAAGAAAGUUACGAUUGGAUUUAAAAAAAAAAAGGUAAAGUUAGAAGUGAGGAAUGGAUGUAACUGCAACCAGUUUGUUACAUGCAUUUCAUUUGCUAUGAUUCAUGUAGUCCUAGAGAAGGAAUGCUGAAUUCAGUUAAAAAAUUAAGUGAAGCAGUGUUAGCAGCCUUGAUACAGCCUCUGCUUGUAAUGCAAGUGAGGAAUGUUUAGUUCACCCAGAGGGGCGGUAACCUGCUGCAGGGAGAGAGAGAGAGAGCUCACAGACUGCACCAGCUUGUGAGUAUAAGGAGGGGGUCUUGGAGAGCCCAGAGAUCGGGAAUGCACAGAGAGCAGACCUAAAAUAACAUAGAGUGAAAGACAUAGCAGACGUUCGAUUUUUAACCCAUUAGCAGCAGAAGCAGUUGAGAUUAUGAUAGAGAAGGUGGAAGAUUAUUUGAAAUAUUGGAAUUAAUAAAGAUAAUGAUACAGAAACAAAUAAUUAUAUUACAUUAAAUAAUUUAAUACAUUUAAAUAAAAUAAAUAAAUAAAUAAAUAAAUUAGAAUUAAAUUAAAUUAGAUUAAGCAUCAGGGUAUGAAGCUGAGUACAGCCUUUAAAGAAAAAGUUAGCAGUAUUUCUUCCCCAAAAACAAUAAAGCAACUCCAAGCCGUGAUGGGGUUGUUUAAUUAUGCGAGAAACACUGUAACAGGAUACUUAGUCCUGGCAGCCCCGUUGUAUCGAAAGAUUUCCCACGGUAACGCUGAGGGAAAGGGGUCUCGUGGAUAGAAGAAGACGAACUUAGGCUAACGCAGCUUAAGACGUUAAUACAAGAAGCGCAGGAUAUUACCACCCGAGUUAGUGGUAAAUCCUUGGAAGCCUACUUCCAUAUUGGUGAACAAGCUGCAGUAGGGGUGAAAAAUAAAGGGGAUGAAAUGCCAAUAAAGAAUUGGGGUUUCAAUUUCACCUCACAGAACAGCAGUUUUGUUAUGAAAAAAGGAUGCUAACCGCUCUUGCUAGAGUAGCACCGUCCUUAUUCAACCUAGCUCAGGAUGAUCUUAUUGAAGUUUUCAGUGAUACCCCAGGACUAGCUACCCUAACAAAGGGAUCACUGAUAAACACGAAAGCGCUUAAAUUACGGUGGGAUAGAUGGGCCACUUUGCUAGCAGACCCUAGAAUAAUCUUCACUACCGUCUCCGAGCUAGCCUCUAACCUCAGAAGUAAAUUCCUUCACCUUCCCCCGUUUGAAAAAUGGGAGGAAUGAACUGCCCCAGCAGGACAGCCGUUUGUGCCUGACUGGUUAAUCUUCUCAGAUGGAUCCAUUCCAGUUUGUGGAAUAGGGAUAUCCGUCGGAAGAAAUCGGAAUGGAAUUUAUGAGGAAACGUAACACCACUCUGAAGUGGUAUCAGGUCGAUCCGCUCAAGUAGCAGAAGCUAAAGCCCUAUUGAAGGGAUUACAAAUGGCUCAAAGUUUGGGGACGCCCAGUGAGACCAUAUUAUUGAUUACAGACUCAAGUUACUGCACCCAAGAAUUCAAUAUUCACUCUCUAACAUGGAAAGAGAAUGGUUACUCUGACCAUAAGGGUAAGCCCAUAGCGCAUGCCAAUAUAUGGAAAGAGAUUGAAACAUUGAGGAGCAAUAGGAUCAGUGUUCGGCAUGCAGCAGGUCACCAGAAGGGGAAAGAAGUAACUAUAGUGGGAAAUAAUCGCGCUGAUGAAUUAGCGCAAGGAGCAGUACAAGGUCAUCAGCAUCAGCAGCAAAACUGAUCAAUUUGCUAGCUGAUAGCCAGCUGUUGUCUGAGUUCCCCCUGGACGGGGACAGAUACCAGUUGGAACAAGGGAAUUCUAUACCGACUGUUUAAAACAAGCAAAAGGAUAGUACCCCCUAAAGCAAGUCGACAAGCCAUAGUACUGGCAGCUCAUCAAGGAGCAGGUGCCUUGCAUAGUGCACUUAAGGGAACUUUGCAUCAGUUGCGAGAUUAAUGGUGGACUGAACUGCAUGCUGAAACUGUGGAGAUCUGCAGAAGAUGUUUGCCCUGCCUACAACACAUUCAGAAACCAAAAGGAACAAAAGCCGACCCGAGCUGAACCCAAGACAGAAGUGGAGUCCUGCUGGGAACGAGCUGAAACAUUGGACACGGACUGGAUGAUUUAAAAAUGAAAUGUAUUAAUGAGAUGAUAUGUGCUGUAACCAUUUGUAAUGUUUGAAUAAUCUUUAGUCUGUAACAAAUACUGUAAAGUGCUCUCUCUGUAAGACCGAAAAACAGAAUCUGGUACAACUUGAUACACUGGCCGGCCUUGAGCAGUCUCUUAUUAAAAUUGGCACGAUUCCCAGAAUUUAGUGCUGAAAUCUCUGUUAAGACUUUUCAGCUUGACUACAGAAUAAUGCUGUACUAAUAGAUGUAUGUUAAUAUGCUUGUUUUAAAUGGUAUAGAUUGCUGUGGUAACAUAUAAUCAUAGGUAGUGAUAAUUAUUGUUAGUAUGAAAUACUAUGAACAAUUUUUAUGUAUAAGAUCAUAUGAUUCACUUUGCUUAAUAUGAUAGCAUACCUGAAGCUGUUUUCUAUCAAGAUGAGCAUAGUUAAAAACGGAGUCCUAAUUCAAUGAAAAGAAUUACUGUGUGCUUACAUUCAAGAAUUAUAACUUCUGAAUAUAAAGGGAAAAGGAGUUAGGAGUAUUCUUAAGGGAAAGAGAAAAACAGAAAAGGAUUAAAAGACCUCGCUUUGAGUAGGUUUCUGCUUGUAAUUCAGUUUUAAAAUAAGUAGGUGAGUAAGAACAACCUAGAGUAAAAGCAGACUCUAACUUAAGAAAAUAAGCAUUGUCAGAAGAUACACCACAACUAGAGAGCAGAAAAAUUGAAUAAAAUCCUAUUGUAAUAUUGCGGAUAUACUGCUGCUAGCAGAAAGUAAUAAGGUUAGCAGCCAUACGCUAUAAGAAGUAAUGUACUAGUUUGACUCUGAAGUUAAAAGACGCAGCAUAAAAAGAUGUUGUGUUUAAAAUACAAAAUAAAAGGAUUGAAUAAAUAAUGAAGAAUAAAAGCAGGAGAUCGGUUUUAGGAGAGUAAACUCUAUGUGACCUGUCUUCCUGAACUCUCUAUCAGCCUGCCCUUGGAGAAAUUAAUAUUAGCUGCUGGAAGGCCUCUUUGGUGGGAAGAAGCCGGAAUUUUUUUAUCAGAAGGCUUAUAGUAUCGGGCCGGACUGCAAAAAUAGGGAGUUAGAACGGAUGGUCUUAGCACCUAAGAUAGUUAGUUGCCGGGCGGAACAAGCAUGUAAGAUACAGGUGUAAGGAAAGUUCUAGGGAACAUUAAUCACUAUUAAACUUGGCAAGAAAAGAGGUGUCUCCAGCAAGCUGGUUUUAGCCAGUAUGAAUAUAGCUGAAACAUACAGGGUCAUCUGGAUGUCAAUUAAGUUCAAGCUACCAGGGGCCCAUAGGAGAAAAACAUUACAGCUUUACAGCUCAGUAAAAUAGUUAGGUUUUCCAUAAGGAGAAAACUCUACAUUAAAAAGAUAUAAGAUGGAAGUUCCCUAUAAUACCUGCUAAACACACACCUGUAAGGAAAGAAUGAAAUUAAUUUGAGAGUGAGAUGACAUGAGGGAAUAUAUUUUUGAAAGCCAAGUUCAUGUAAUCAAUUAUAAUCAUUAUAACUAUAACUGCUAUAUUAUGAUAUAACUAUUGGUGUUGCAUAUAUUCAAAAAACACCACUUUUCUUAUAUUGGUGUUGCAUAUAUUUAAAACACCACUCCUUUUUAUAAUGCACCCAUAUUAAGUAGUGAAUCAAGGUUGCAGGGAUUUUGUGAACUCUGCUUCACCUAACUUUUCAGAUGAAGGAGGGGGGCCAAGAAUGAGUGGAUGAGAACAUGGGCUAGUGUUGAUUUGUUGGCAUAUGACUUUAAUUGAGUCUGAGGAGUUGGUUGAAUUCUUUAGAGAUUACUGUUUGCCAAGAGAUAAGGACUGUCAAUAUAGAUUGAUGACUGGAUCUAAUUGGGGUUUCCCAUUGCUUUCAAUGGGACGAAAAUUGUAUAAAAACCCUGGGCCGAUCACACUGAGACCACCACAAUCAAGCUUGGCAGAGCUAUGUGUGGUCCAUCCUUUGCAGAUCUCUACAGAACAGUCCUUCUCUUUUGUUCACGCUACUCUUCCUUAUAAUAGGAGGUAAGCAUAUUAAUGGUAUUAUUGUAUCUCGCAUUUAUUGGUUAUAUUGCUAUGAGGUUUUGAAACUAUGUUUUGGUAUUAAGAGUGUUAUAUUGAAUGUGCUAAAACAUAGCAGUGGGUGCUUGUAGGCUUUGUGCUUAACCAGCCUGAGGGCUGCACUGAAUACAUAUAAUUGUAUUAUGUUAUUGAAGUAUUAAAUGCUGAAGCUUGUAAUAAACUUAGGAUUGCUAAUUAUUGUUACAUGUUUUCGGGUUUUGGUAGUAUGCGCAAACUACUAAACCAAUAUUAAAGGCAUUUUAAUAAAACGAAGGAGCGCUGAUGUUGCUCUGAUUCGUGAAACUUUGAAUAAA